GCCAGUGUGGUGCAGUGGUUUGAGCGUAAGACUGCAACCCUGAAGACUAGGGUUUGAUUCCCUGAUCAGCCA